rnacentral:lncRNA from 1 species
AAGAGACGAACGAGCGAGAGAAGGUCGAGGGCGAUAAGAAACGAACGAGCGAGAGAAGGUCGAGGGCGAUAAGAGACGAACGAGCGAGUGAAGGUCGAGGGCGAUAAGAGACGAACGAGCGAGUGAAGGUCGAGGGCGAUAAGAGACGAACGAGCGAGUGAAGGUCGAGGGCGAUAAGAGACGAACGAGCGAGUGAAGGUCGAGGGCGAUAAGAGACGAACGAGCGAGUGAAGGUCGAGGGCGAUAAGAGACGAACGAGC